UGAGGAAUCUUCGACAAUGGGCGCAAGCCUGAUCGAGCGACGCCGCGUGGAGGAUGACGCAUCUCGGUGUGUAAACUCCUUUUCUGUGGGAAGAGUAGGGACGGUACCACAGGAAUAAGCAUCGGCUAACUACGUGCCAGCAGCCGCGGUAAUACGUAGGAUGCGAGCGUUGUCCGGAGUUACUGGGCGUAAAGCGUAUGCAGGCGGACCUGUGCGUCUAUGGUGAAAUCUCCCGGCUCAACUGGGAGGGUGCCGUAGAUACGAUGGGUCUUGAGGGCUGAAGAGGAAAGUAGAACUCCCGGUGGAACAGUGAAAUGUGUAGAGAUCGGGAAGAAUACCUGAGGGGAAGCCGGCUUUCUGGUCAGUGCCUGACGCUCAGAUACGAAAGCGUGGGGAGCAAACA
rnacentral:rRNA from 1 species